AUGCUGCUAGACCUCUGCAGCUCCAUGCAGGAGAUCUUCACGGAGCUCAGGACGAGUGUCCAGGAGGUGCAACUAUCCCUCGAGAGAGUGGAUGGCGCGGCAGUCCAUUCUCAGUCUUACGCCCGCUUGUCCAGAAAGGCUCAGAGGCUGUGCAAACGGAUCAGCGGCAAGGUUGCCUCUGACAUGGAGGGAUGCGGCGCCAUCAAGAUGACAGCUGAAGCGAGAGACAUUGCCAUCGUGAUACUCAAGUCGACAUUGCAUCUCUUUUUGAAGCAGAUUACAAUAUCGAAAUUUUCUAGUAGGUGGUCUCUUGUAUCCAAGGCAUUCCAGAAGAAGAGAUUUGCAUGCGAUGAGGGGCAGUUGCAGGAGUUGCACAUCACUGAUGUUGAGAGUAGACUUCAGCUCCUCUUCAGAAAUUGA
rnacentral:rRNA from 1 species